rnacentral:rRNA from 1 species
CAGUCGCCGCGGGAAUACGAAGGGUGUAAGCGUUAAUCGGAAUUACUGGGCGUAAAGCGUACGUAGGCGGCUUUGUAAGUUAGAGGUGAAAGCCCGGAGCUCAACUCCGGAAUUGCCUUUAAGACUGCAUCGCUUGAACGUCGGAGAGGUAAGUGGAAUUCCGAGUGUAGAGGUGAAAUUCGUAGAUAUUCGGAAGAACACCAGUGGCGAAGGCGGCUCACUGGACGACUGUUGACGCUGAGGUACGAAAGCGUGGGGAGCAAACAGGAUUAGAUACCCCGGUAGUCCCUGUCUCUUAUAC